UCAAAGCAGAGGUGCACUCCUUCUUUCCCUCUGUCUUCUCUUUCUUCUUCUUUUUUUACUUGUUGUGCUUCUGGUCGUUGCACAAGGAGCAUCUAGUCCCUGAGGCUCAUCUCCAACUACAGGAGCAACCUGGCUCAACAACAAACAGGAAGAGUCUCUCACUUUGCUCCAUGGAUGCUGACAUCAUCCCUACAUUUGGAACAAUAAUAAUAAUAUUUGAAUUAUUUCCUGAUGGAUGCAGAUUACCAACACUGCGGCUACAGUCUGUGGAGAACAGGAAAAGUGACAGAAGAGCUGCCUCGCUGCUUUGCAGAAGGAUUAAGUUGCACGGAGCACAAAAACGCGACGAACGUGCGACGAACACAGCUGGUUGUUGAGCACAAUGGGCCUCAUUCAGGAGCUGCGGCAGGACGUGUGCGUGGUGCGAACACUGGUGGAUAAUAGAGGGAGGGCAGCGGAGUGGACGCGAUGACAGCUGCGUCACGGGGUUGGGGAGAGAGGCAUGGCCCGGGGCUCGACAGGCACCAACUGUGGACAGUGAAGCUUUUAGGAUGAGGAGCAUCUCUAACUGAAGAGAGUUUUUUUGCAUCCAAGUUCAGGUUUAACUUCAGAGCUGAGAUCUUUGAUUGGAGGUGGAAUUUUGCACCAGUUUCCUCUGUAACUUUCUUUACUUGUACACAGAUGUGAACACACUGAAGAAAAAUGAUUCCUGCUUUUAUUAAUUGGAAAAUUAAAAAAAAAUCAUGAAUAUUUUAUGCAUUUUUACUUUUCUCCUUGUGCUUCUUGUAGAAAUGUAUCUGUUUGUCAUUUUAACUGGACCGUAACAUGAUUCUGAUCUAACCAAUCAUGGCCCAGCUCUCAGAACAGUCUGUAAUCUCAUUUUAUGACUGGGAUUAAAAUAAGAUGAAGUCUCAAUAAGCUGUUUCUCACCAUUGCUGCUCCAUCAGGGCUCACCUCGCUCUGCUGAGACUGUUUGGGUGCUGCUCGGUGGGACGCACUGAGCGCGCUCCAUCAAUAAUGCAGAAUGUUUCUGUGGUAACUGCUUGGCAACUGCUGGUGCGUCGGCUGCAUCCGGUAUCAGAGGAAGAGUCUGAGAAACAAGACGAGAGAAACAGACUGAAGAGAAAUGAUCUUUGAAGGAAUUUGUGAAGUGGAGGCAGAGAAAAGUGCCAGUUUUAGUUUUAAAAGCACAUUUUAAGACAACAAGGGCCUUACAAGUUGGUUCAAACCAAACAGGAAGAAACAUCAGUAAAAUAAAAACACUACACUUCAACACAAAUACAAUAAAACUGACUAAAAGACGAGGAAACAUCACAACAUGAAGGAUCAACCAGGAACAGAAAACAUAGUGUUCAGUAAAAACACAUCCUGAAGUGUUUUUAUUUAUCUGUGAAUAAAAGCUGCUGCUGUUGGCCUCAGAUCAUCUGACAUCCUUUACUGCACCCUUUCAAAAUAAAGCUCUGUAGCUGUUUCA